GACGGAGGAUGCAAGUGUUAUCCGGAAUCACUGGGCGUAAAGCGUCUGUAGGUGGUUUAGAAAGUCUAUUGUUAAAGGUUGAAGCUUAACUUCAAAACUGCACUAGAAACUUCUAAACUUGAGUAUGGUAGGGGUAAAGGGAAUUUCCAGUGGAGCGGUGAAAUGCGUAGAUAUUGGAAAGACCACCAAUGGCGAAGGCACUUUACUGGGCCAUUACUGACACUGAGAGACGAAAGCUAGGGGAGCAAAUGGG
rnacentral:rRNA from 1 species